CCUACGGGUGGCAGCAGUGGGGAAUAUUGGACAAUGGGCGAAAGCCUGAUCCAGCCAUGCCGCGUGUGUGAAGAAGGCCUUCGGGUUGUAAAGCACUUUCAGUGGGGAAGAAAGCCUUGGGGCUAAUACCCUCGAGGAAGGACAUCACCCACAGAAGAAGCACCGGCUAACUCCGUGCCAGCAGCCGCGGUAAUACGGAGGGUGCGAGCGUUAAUCGGAAUUACUGGGCGUAAAGCGCGCGUAGGCGGUCUGAUAAGCCGGUUGUGAAAGCCCCGGGCUCAACCUGGGAACGGCAUCCGGAACUGUCAGGGUAGAGUGCAGGAGAGGAAGGUAGAAUUCCCGGUGUAGCGGUGAAAUGCGUAGAGAUCGGGAGGAAUACCAGUGGCGAAGGCGGCCUUCUGGACUGACACUGACGCUGAGGUGCGAAAGCGUGGGUAGCAAACAGGAUUAGAUACCCUAGAGUC
rnacentral:rRNA from 1 species